GACGGGGCCGCACAAGCGGUGGAGCAUGUGGUUAAUUCGACGCAACGCGAAGAACCUUACCAGGGCUUGACAUCCCCUGACCGCGUAUGAAAGUACGUUUUCACCCUCGGGUGACAGGGAGACAGGUGGUGCAUGGUUGUCGUCAGCUCGUGUCGUGAGAUGUUGGGUUAAGUCCCGCAACGAGCGCAACCCCUACGUUUAGUUGCUAACGCGUGAAGGCGAGCACUCUAGACGAACUGCCGUUGACAAAACGGAGGAAGGUGGGAUGACGUCAAAUCAUCAUGCCCCUUAUGUUCUGGGCUACACACGUGCUACAAUGGCCGGUACAGACGGACGCAAAGCCGCGAGGUGGAGCAAAUCCUAAAAAGCCGGUCUCAGUUCGGAUUGCAGGCUGCAAUUCGCCUGCAUGAAGUCGGAAUCGCUAGUAAUCGCAGGUCAGCAUACUGCGGUGAAUACGUUCCCGGGCCUU
rnacentral:rRNA from 1 species